GCGGCAUUAGCUCAAUUGGAUAGAGUACCUGACUUCGAAUCAGUAGGUUGAAGGUUCGAGUCCUUCAUGCCGCG
rnacentral:tRNA from 1 species